rnacentral:rRNA from 1 species
CCAUCGACGCCGCGUGGGUGAUGAAGGCCUUCGGGUUGUAAAGCCCUGUCGGUUGGGAAAAAGGUAUCGUGUUAAUACCACGAUUGCUUGAUGGUACCAGCAAAGGAAGUAGCGGCUAACUCUGUGCCAGCAGCCGCGGUAAUACAGAGGCUACAAGCGUUGUUCGGAAUUACUGGGCGUAAAGGGCGCGUAGGCGGUCUUCUAAGUCAGAUGUGAAAGCCUGGGGCUUAACCCCAGAAGUGCAUUUGAAACUGGAAGGCUAGAGUGCAGUAGAGAAUGGCGGAAUUCCCAGUGGAGAGGUGAAAUUCGUAGAUAUUGGGAGGAACACCGGUGGCGAAGGCGGCCAUUUGGGCUGUAACUGACGCUGAGGCGCGAAAGCGUGGGUAGCAAACAGGAUUAGAUACCCUGGUAGUCCACGCUGUAAACUAUGGAUACUCGCUGUGGCUGGUAUUGACCCCGGCCGUAGCCAAGUUAACACGUUAAGUAUCCCGCCUGGGGAGUACGGUCGCAAGAUUAAAACUCAAAGGAAUUGACGGGGGCCCGCACAAGCGGUGGAUUAUGUGGUUUAAUUCGAAGCAA